UGACACUAUGAACACAGAGGACAAGGUAGACGGGGCUGGGAAGACAAGACGAACCGACAAGGACAGAGGGGAAACACACAGACUUAAAUACUAGACAAGAUUACACACAGGUGAAACAAAUCAGGGCGGGGCAGACAAUCAACAAAAGGCGGGAAAACAAACAAAGGAGGGAAGUAAAACCAG